GUCUAUGGCCAUGCCACCCUGAACGAGCCCGAAGUUUGGUCUCAGAAGCUAAGCAGGGUUGGGCCUGGUUGGUACUUGGAUGGGACACCACCUAUGAAGACCAGGUGCUGUAGGCA
rnacentral:rRNA from 1 species